AAUCAACGCUGGCGGCGUGCCUCAGACAUGCAAGUCGAACGAUUAAAGCUCUCUUCGGAGAGUGCAUAAAGUGGCGCACGGGUGAGUAACACGUAAGUAAUCUACCUUCGAGUGGGGAAUAACGUCCGGAAACGGACGCUAAUACCGCAUAAUGCAGCGGCAUCGCAAGAUGACAGUUGUUAAAGGAGCAAUUCGCUUGAAGAGGAGCUUGCGGCAGAUUAGCUAGUUGGUAAGGUAACGGCUUACCAAGGCUACGAUCUGUAACCGGUCUAAGAGGACGGUCGGUCACACUGACACUGAAUAACGGGUCAGACUCCUACGGGAGGCAGCAGUCGGGAAUUUUGGGCAAUGGGCGAAAGCCUGACCCAGCAACGCCGCGUGAAGGAUGAAGUA
rnacentral:rRNA from 1 species